UAUAUUGCACAGAAGUCCCAUGGCCCU
rnacentral:piRNA from 1 species